AACGAACGCUGGCGGCAUGCCUAACACAUGCAAGUCGAACGAGACCUUCGGGUCUAGUGGCGCACGGGUGCGUAACGCGUGGGAACCUGCCCUUAGGUUCGGAAUAACUCCCCGAAAUGGGUGCUAAUACCGGAUAAUGUCUUCGGACCAAAGAUUUAUCGCCUUUGGAUGGGCCCGCGUUGGAUUAGCUAGUUGGUAGGGUAAAAGCCUACCAAGGCGACGAUCCAUAGCUGGUCUGAGAGGAUGAUCAGCCACACUGGGACUGAGACACGGCCCAGACUCCUACGGGAGGCAGCAGUGGGGAAUAUUGGACAAUGGGCGAAAGCCUGAUCCAGCAAUGCCGCGUGAGUGAUGGAGGCCUUAGGGUUGCAAAGCUCUUUUACCCGGGAUGAUAAUGACAGUACCGGGAGAAUAAGCUCCGGCUAACUCCGUG
rnacentral:rRNA from 1 species